CUUUCCGCCCCCUUCUCGCGCGUGAGCGCGCCCUAUCGGCUCCUGGCGCGUCAACAUUCCGCGGGCCAGGCCUUGGGGCGCGUCUGAGGAGGGGGAUGUCUGUGGCCUCUCCGCCCACACUUCCUCCACCCACCGCCCACAGCGCCCCAGAAGGACCUAUUACUCGUUUGGCUUCUGAAGGCCGAAGCCAGGCUCUGGCGGGGAUAGAACCCUGAAGGGCCUGCGCCAGCUCCAACUUAGGGCCCUGUGCGUCGUUGCGACUUCUGCUACCACCCUAUCACGCGGCACCCCCGCCCCAACUCCGCCCGGGUCUCUGAAGAGGCAAUAGGCCUUUCAUCUCCGGGGAAAGUCUCACCUUGGCCCUCAGACACCCGCCAAGAGGGGUCGGAAGGACAGAAUUAGCAUAGAGAAGAGUGGCUAGAGCACUUUUCAGGCUCUGGCCCCAGGAAUCCUUGACAGGAAGCGUGGGGUUGCUGCCCAGCCUCCCACGCAGUGUAAUAUGUUGAAGCCGGGCCCCUUUGAGGGAAUGCGACUUCCUUGGGCCGAGGGGGAAAGGUAUCUUUUGCUGCCUCUUACGUAUUGUAGGCAGUGCCUGAUGGCUGAGAAGAAUCGCAGAGGACUAGAAAAGGUUUGAGUCUGAAAUUAUCUGGCACAGAGGAUUAAAGCUCAGAAAUAAGUGAUUGCGAAACAGUUCAACUUCCCUGUUAAUGACAACAACAACAGCAACACGCUUAUUAAUUCCUAGCUGGAGCAUCAAGCUUAUGAAGAUUUCCAAGACUUUAUUGUUGACCCUUGUUGAAGAGAACUCUACUUGGCUUCUUUCCUGGCUUUCCUAAAUUGUUCACAUACAAGAUAAACUACCGUCAUUCAGACUUACAGAAGUGAGAAGACAAGCUGAACCAAAUGUAAAAUGGUAGCAAUUUACAGAUGUCAGAACUAACAUGUGGAUGAACUUAGAGAUGGAGAAGAAAGCUGGGCUUUUCCAAAGAGUGGAUCUAUCUGAACUGGAUAGCACUAUUGAACUUUGUUGCAUAUUUUGUGGUAGCUCUAAAACUCCUCUGCUUGCUUACAUACAACCAGACACCAGUGCCUUCUGAAGCUAAUCCAGGCCAUUUUUAUAACCUAAUGCAGUAGCACUUUGCAAUUAGAUGAAGAAGAUCGGUGGGAUUUCUUUCUGUGGUGAUUAAAAUGUGUCAGGGGAAGAAAUCAAGACAAUACUCCAAGUGAAAAAUAUAAAGUCAGUUAUUUCUUUAAUAUUUUGUGUUAUAGUAAUCAUUUUUAUAUUUUGAGCAUACUUUUUCUUGUCUACUUAAAUACUCAAAAUUAAUUAUAAAAUGUAAAUGUAAGCACAAUGAGAUACCAUCUCAUCCCAGUUAAAAUGGCUUUUAUCAAAAAGAUAGGGAAUAAUGAAUACUGGUGGAAGGAUGUGGAGAAUGGGGAACCCUCGUACACUGUCAAUGAGAAUGUAAAUUAGUACAGCCACUAUGGAAAACUGUAUGGAAGUGCCUCCGAAAACAAAGUAGAACUACCAUGUGAUCCAGCAAUUACACUAGUGGGUAUAUAUUCAAAAGAAAGGAAAUCAACAUAUUAAAGAGAUAGCUGCAUUCUCAUGUUUAUUGAAGUCCUGUUGAAAUAGCCAAAAUAUGGAAUCAACCUAAGUGCCCAUCAGUGGAUGAAUGGUUAAAGAAAAUGUGAUUGAUAUGCAAUGGAAUAUUAUUCAGCCAUAAAAAAGAAUGAAAUCCUGGCGGGGCACAGUGGCUCAUGCAAGUAAUCCCAGCACUGACCUCAUGAAGACAGAGAGUAGAUUGGUGGUUACCAGAGGUUGAGAAGGGGAGAGGAGAGGAGGGAUGAAGAGAGGUUGAUUGAUGGAUAGAAAUAUACAGUUUGAUAAUGAUAAAUCAGUAGGGUGACUAUAGUUUAUAAUAACCUAUUGUAUGGUUCAAAAUAGCUAAAAGAGAAUAAUUGAAAUAACGUAAGACAAAAAUUUAAGAUGAUAGAUAUCCCAAUUACACUGAUUUGAUCUUUACAAAUUAUAUGAAUGUAUUAAAUUAUUACAUGUAUCCCCAAAAUAUGUACAAGUAUUUUGUAUCAAUAAAAAAUAAAAUUUAAGAUAAAGUAAAUGUAAUGAUUAGCUUAUAUUUCCUAGAUCGGAAAUAAAUAUUUACUUAAGUAUGUUUAUGAUGAAGAGUUUUUUUAUAUUACUAUAAAAAUAGACACCUUACAUAAACAUAUUACAGUUGGU
rnacentral:lncRNA from 1 species